rnacentral:rRNA from 1 species
AAUUUUGGACAAUGGGCGCAAGCCUGAUCCAGCAAUGCCGCGUGCAGGAUGAAGGCCUUCGGGUUGUAAACUGCUUUUGUACGGAACGAAAAGCCCUGGGUUAAAACCCUGGGGUCAUGACGGUACCGUAAGAAUAAGCACCGGCUAACCACGUGCCAGCAGCUGGGGUAAUACGUAGGGUGCGAGCGUUAAUCGGAAUUACCGGGCGUAAAGCGUGCGCAGGCGGUUUUGGAAGACAGAGGUGAAAUCCCCGGGCUCAACCUGGGAACUGCCUUUGUGACUGCAAGGCUAGAGUACGGCAGAGGGGGAUGGAAUUCCGCGUGUAGCAGUGAAAUGCGUAGAUAUGCGGAGGAACACCGAUGGCGAAGGCAAUCCCCUGGGCCUGUACUGACGCUCAUGCACGAAAGCGUGGGGAGCAAACAGG